rnacentral:rRNA from 1 species
AAUCAACGCUGGCGGCGUGCCUCAGACAUGCAAGUCGAACGAUUAAAGCUCUCUUCGGAGAGUGCAUAGAGUGGCGCACGGGUGAGUAACACGUAAGUAAUCUACCUUCGAGUGGGGAAUAACGUCCGGAAACGGACGCUAAUACCGCAUAAUGCAGCGGCAUCGUAAGAUGACAGUUGUUAAAGAUUUAUCGCUCGAAGAGGAGCUUGCGGCAGAUUAGCUAGUUGGUAAGGUAAUGGCUUACCAAGGCUACGAUCUGUAACCGGUCUUAGAGGACGGUCGGUCACACUGACACUGAAUAACGGGUCAGACUCCUACGGGAGGCAGCAGUCGGGAAUUUUGGGCAAUGGGCGAAAGCCUGACCCAGCAACGCCGCGUGAAGGAUGAAGUAUUUCGGUAUGUAAACUUCGAAAGAAUGGGAAGAAUAAAUGACGGUACCAUUUAUAAGGUCCGGCUAACUACGUG